CGGACACCUUUCCAAGGAGAUCGGAGAGUUGAACAUGCUCGAGAGCCUUACAAUCACUAUGGACAAUCUCACCGGCGAGCUUCCAACUGAGCUAUCCAAACUUACUUCUCUUAGAAUCCUCAACAUCUCUCACAACCUCUUCUCCGGUAACUUCCCCGGCAACAUCACUUUCGGAAUGAAGAAACUUGAGGCUCUAGAUGCUUAUGACAAUAAUUUCGAAGGGCCUCUUCCAGAGGAAAUCGUUAGCCUGAUGAAACUCAAGUACUUAAGUUUUGCUGGAAACUUUUUCUCCGGUACAAUACCGGAGAGUUACUCGGAGUUUCAGAAGUUGGAGAUUUUAAGGCUCAACUAUAACAGUUUAACGGGGAAGAUUCCGAAGAGUUUGGCUAAGUUAAAGAAGCUGAAGGAACUCUGUUUAGGUUACGAUAAUGCUUACGCCGGUGGAAUUCCACCGGAGUUCGGUUCAAUCAAAUCUCUCCGAUAUCUGGACAUUUCUAACUCUAACCUCACCGGAGAAAUUCCACCGAGUCUUGGAAAUUUAGAAAACCUCGACUACUUGUUUUUGCAAAUGAACUACCUCACCGGAAAAAUUCCACCCGAACUCUCUUCAAUGCGAAGUCUCAUGAUGUUGGAUCUCUCCAUCAACGAACUCUCAGGGGAGAUUCCAGAAACCUUCUCAAAGCUGAAACAUCUCACUCUUAUCAAUUUCUUCCAGAACAAGCUUUGCGGUUCAAUUCCAGCGUUCGUCGGUGAUCUUCCUAACCUCGAAACGCUUCAGGUUUGGGACAACAAUUUCUCUUCUGUAUUGCCGCAGAAUCUCGGUUCAAACGGAAAGUUCAUAUACUUUGACGUUACGAAGAAUCACCUCACCGGAUUGAUCCCACCGGAGUUAUGCAAAUCGAAGAAGUUGAAAACGUUUAUCGUUUCUGACAACUUUCUCAGCGGUCCAAUACCUAACGGAAUCGGUGCGUGUAAGUCACUUGAAAAAAUCAGAGUCGCUAAUAACUACUUGGACGGCCUGGUCCCACCGGGAAUUUUUCAGUUGCCUUCUGUAACGAUGAUGGAGCUUAGAAAUAACCGUUUUAACGGCCAACUACCAUCGGAGAUUUCCGGCAAUUCUCUCGGGAUUCUCGCUCUUUCUAACAAUUUAUUUACCGGGAGGAUUUCGGCGUCCAUGAAGAAUCUCCGAUCACUGCAGACUCUGUUACUCGACGCCAAUCAGUUUGUCGGAGAAAUUCCGACAGAGGUCUUUGCUUUACCGGUGUUGACUAGAAUUAACAUAAGUGGCAACAAUCUCACUGGUGGAAUUCCAAAGACGGUUACUCAAUGUAGUACAUUGACAGCCGUUGACUUCAGCCUAAACAUGCUUACCGGUGAGGUUCCUAAAGGGAUGAAGAAUCUGAAGGUGCUAAACAUUUUGAAUGUUUCGCAUAAUAGCAUAUCGGGGCAAAUCCCCAAUGAUAUUAGAUUCAUGAUGAGUCUAACGACGCUGGAUUUAUCUUACAACAAUUUCACCGGAAUUGUCCCCACCGGUGGUCAGUUUUUGGUCUUCAACGACCGUUCAUUUGCGGGAAACCCUAGCUUAUGUUUCCCACACCAAUCAACAUGUUCUUCAUUGCUCUAUCCUUCGAGAAAAAGCCAUGCAAAGGAGAAAGUCAUCGUCAUAGCAAUUGUCUUUGCCACAGUGGUUUUGAUGGUAAUUGUAACAUUGUACAUGAUAAGGAAGAGGAAGCGUCACAUGGCAAAAGCAUGGAAGCUAACAGCGUAUUAGAUAAAUGAGUUCACUUCUUUAAAAUAAAUUAACAAAAGAAACUAUGCAAGUGAUUUGUACUUGUUGUAUAUAUCUAGUAGAUUGGCAGAAGUGAAACAACAAAUCAAGUGUGUAGUAUUAAAUAGGUUUGAAUUUCACAAUGUCGUGUGAUUUGAAAUAUUUUUACUGAUUGUGUUUCAUGAAAUUUUGUACAAUAGGGUAGGAUUAUUAUUUUGAAAAAGGGUUUUGAGUAGUACUACUAUUGUUAUUGUAACUUCAGCCGUGAAUGAAUAUGUGAAAAUAUAUGAUUUAGAUUUCUAUUAAAUGGGAAAUGUAAAGUGGGUUUAGACAAAUUUUGGAUAUAAUGCGAGAGAGAAUGAUGUUUAAAAUGGAGGAAAAAAAAAGUAAGCAAAUCAAGAGACUCAGAGAGAGAAAUGUAGACGAACGAAAUUUACAGAUAUUAGUCGAUCCAAAUUUAUAUUUUUGGAUCAGGAUUCUCUAACCUUCAUUUGUCUGCCAUUUGAUCUCUUUCUUGAUUUGCUUUCUCUCACGUCAUUUUCCUUCCAUUUUAAACACCAUCAUUUAUCCUAUUUUAUCUAAAUUUUGUCUAAGCUCAAAAGGUAGAGGAUCCAAAUUCAUAUUUUCAAAAAUUCCCGCUAAGCAUUCCCCAAAUACAAAUAUAAAAUAAAAUUUCUCAUUCUCAUCAUCACUUAAUAUAAGCAGUAGUGGUUCUUUCUCAAUGCUCCCAUGGCCCACUCUUCUGCUCUUCAAUCACUGCCAAACUCCUUCCCAUCAUAUUCCCCAAUUUCAAUACUCAAUUUAUUUACAUGCAUCUAUAUUUUUUGUGUUUCUUGAGCCUUUAAAGCUAAUCCUAAGUGAUGCAAAAUUAGGUGGUCAAAUUGAAAGCAUUUCCAAGCCACCUUGGAGGGGGAACUUUCUUUCUUGGAGAAAUAUCCGAGACUUUUCUCGCUUUCUAAUCAAAAAGAGGCGAAGGUUGGAGAUGUGGGAAUUUUUAAUACAUCGGUUAGUAAUUGGACCUUUGAUUGGAGGCGCCCCCUUUUUGUUUGGGAGAAUGAGUUGCUAACGGAAUUAUUACAAGACUUGGAUGGCUUUAGAGGGUCUCUAGAGGAGGAUGCUUGAUGGUGGAGAUUGGAAGGGAAUGGUGGAUUUACGGUGAAAUCUAUGUACAAGAAGUUGGAGGUGUUGAUGCUGGAGGAGAGCAUGGCUUCCAUAGAGGAAAGGAGGAUGUUUUCUCAUAUUUGGAAAAGUCCGGCUCCGUCUAAAGUGGUAGAAUUCUCUUGGAAAUUGCUUCAUGAUUGGAUACCGACGAAAGUCAAUUUAUGGCACAAGCAAGUUCUUCCACCAGAUACUUCGGUGAGCUGUGUUUUGUGUGAGGGGAAUGCAGAGUCCGUGAAUCAUUUGUUCAUUCAUUGUAAGUUUGCUAUGGAGGUGUGGAAAGGCGUGUGGAGGUGGUUUGAUGUUUUUCUUGGAGCUUCCGCCGAAUUUGUUCCUGUUGUGGGAGGGCUUGAAUGAGCUUGUGGGUAAUAAUAGGAUCCGGAAAGGUUUUCGUUUGAUUUGGCAUGCCGUGGUGUGGAGUAUAUGGAGGGCGAGAAAUGAGCGAAUUUUUAACAAUUCAAAUUGUGGGGUGGAGGAGAUUCUGGAGGCUAUGAAAGUGCUGUCGUGGAGAUGGACUUUAAGUCGUUUGAAGAUAUGAGCGAAUUUUUAACAAUUCAAAUUGUGGGGUGGAGGAGAUUCUGGAGGCUAUGAAAGUGCUGUCGUGGAGAUGGACUUUAAGUCGUUUGAAGAUAUCGGCUUGUUUGUUUUAUGAGUGGAGUUGGAAUCCGAAAGGGUGUCUUAUGCGACAAGGGAGCGGUUUUACCUGUGCUGCAUCGACAAAUUUUGAGGCUGCGGUAUGCGAGUUUUUAUGUUAUCAAGUGCUAAUCGGUUUAGUGGCCUUUAGCUGUUCGUGCUAUGGCUUAAUUGUUUCCUGUUUCUUUGUGCUGGUUUCUGCUUUUUGUGGGACUGAGGUGUUUGUGGGGUUUCUGCUAUAUCAGUGCCUUUGUAUUCCUGUUUUUCGCCGUGAGUUUUUUUGCUGUGCUUCUUGCACACACUCGUCGUGAAUAAAUUUAGCCGUUUCUAAAAAAAAUAAAAAAAUUGAAAGCAUUUAACAAAUUUGUGAAUACUUCCCGAAGCUCUAGAGGCAGCUACUUUGCUAAUUGAUCGAAAAGCUAGCAAGGGUCUGCGCAAGUUUCUACGUGUUCAUUAUGAAAAUGAAACGUUAGGUGUAGCCAAGUCAAAGCUUGGGAAUAUCAUUAAGGAGAAAUAGGUAUGCUACCUAAGUUACUCUUAACAAAAUUUAUGAUUGUUUACAUAAGUAGUAGUUGUUUCUCACCUUUAUUGUUGUACUAAGUUUUCAACCUGAUCAAUAUAUUGAAGUCACUUCAAUUUUUCUCAUGUUAAUGUCCAUAUUCUCCUUUGCCAUAUGCUUUGUUCUAUUUAGUCCCCAUCUCUGAUCCACUUUCUCGCAAAAAAUGACCGGAUAAUAUUUGAGUUUUAAUCCCUUGUGCCACAUGUAUUACUUCACAAGUGUGGGCACCAUAAACAUUGGGUUUCCUUUUCCUCUUGAAAGGGGUAGAUUCAUUCAAUGAAAUGACACGGUUCAAAGUGGUAUUUUUGUGUAAGCACCACUUGUUUCUCGAGUGAGAGAGACUAAUCACUCAAGGCAUUGAAACUUCCCUACAACUAUUCCUCUACAGUCACAUAUCUGAGAUUGAAUCUAUAACCACUAAAGAAACUCAAUUUACUGAGAUCGAAAAUUUACUUCAACAAAAUUGUGGGGACUCCGUUUAAAGAUGGAGCAAAGUUCUUUAUGAACUAACCCACAAAAAUUGGCACACUAUUAGACGAACUCAAUUGAGCUUCUAUGACUGCAUGAUUAAAAGUGACAGAUAACUCAUUACGACUUUAUUUUCUGUUCGCUAGAGGAUGCAACCAACGGUAUUGCCAAUUUGCUAUUCACAUGAUGAGUAUAAGGACCUGAAUUAGAGAGACUUGUGGAUAAGAGUCUUGGUACCAAGUUCUUCACCAAAUGUGGCUUAUAGUAUAACUAGAAACUAAGUGGUUAUUGGCUAAAGUAGGAUAUUUUUAUCUGAACUGAAUCAAUCUAAUUACAAAACAAAAUGAUUAUGUUAUGCUAUUUGUGGUUUAUAGAGGUCAACUGCCGGAACAAACGUGAUCCACACUUUAGAGGUGUUCCAUCAUGUCAACAUAAUGCACAAAAGAGGUCAUAAGCAUAGUAAAAACGAGUAAUUUAUGAGAGAUUAUCUGUUCAAAUUUCAUAGAUAAAAAAAUAACGAUAAAGUAAGUGCUCAAAACAUGGAUACUUAUUACAGAAAUAUUAUUUCUGUAAUUGCUAUGUCUUUAUCCUCAACGAGCUGCGUUACAGUUAUUGUCCUUGCUUUUCGGAGAAUUACACAAUGAUUUACGCUUCAUCAACAUCCAAGGACAGUAGAUACUGUUACUGCUCUACACUGUAUUGCGAGAGAGUAUAGUGAGAGAAUAUGUUAAAGAGAAUUGAAAAUGGGUGGGGACAACAUCCAUUUUUGAAUAUGUGAACCAAAAUGUUGAAAAGUAUAUAAAAGGAAAAAUAAUGUGUGGGGGAAAUCACUCAAUAGCUUAUUAUGAGCAGAUCCGCCAUUGUAUCUAAGUACAGGAGCUUGCCAUAGAGAAUAUAAACUGUCUGCCAUUGUAAAAGAGCAAGAAAAAUUUAGAGAAAUGAUAUUUGAACAUCCAUUUUAUGACAAUUUUCUCUCUCAUACUCACAUUACUUUUUACUUUAUCUCUCUAUUACUUUGUUUUUUGUGCAAAUACCAACUUUUUCUUUGUAAAUUAUGAUUGUCCCAAAAAUUAUCAACCAAAUGGUUAUUCAAAUAACACUCCUUAAAAAUUUAAGGGCCAAUAAUGGAAGAUAAUUUUGGUCGCUUCACGUACACUAAACUAGUUGUCACUACUCACUAUCAUUAGAGGGGUUGACAUACCACCCAUCCAUUAUUAGUGGAUGUGGAUCCCAAUUCCAAAAAACUAUGAAAGAAAUGUUGAAGAAUAACACGAAUCCAUUUUGGAAGCAUUGCUAUGUGGCAAAUCUUGACCUACUGUUUCAUGACAAAAUUAUUGAUUGGGAAAAUGAAAUACUUUCCCUUAGCAAUAUUCACACUUGUUAGUAAAAAUAAAUAAAUAAAAGCUACAUAUAUUAUCUUUUUGUAUGUUCAUGUUCUUGUAAAUUAUUUUUUCUUUAUGCUCUUCUAGAUGAAACAUGACACGUUUAUACGGUAUAUUUUUAAAAUAAUAGUAAUAUUUUUCUUCCCUUAUUAUUAAUUUUUGGCUUAAUAAGAUAAGAUACUUGAUCCCUUUCACACACAAAAUGAUAUCUGUUUCCUUAUAUGACGAGUUAAGUGUAGUCUCUAUCACGAGUUCGUAGGUCUUCCAAAAUGGUGUUAUGUAGGAAUGGAAAUCCGGGACAGACAAUGCUGAUUAUGGAUGGUAGCAGAGUGAUGUUAUGGGGGCAUGAUAACUGAUAAGCAGUGGUGCAUCUAGCUUCCGAUGGUGGUGCUAUGAGUGUCACAAACUGAUGUAACAUUUAAAAUUUUGAGAACUCAAACAAAUUUUUUAAUACACAAAUAAACACUAGACAAAGUACUUUUGGACACCACAGAAAACUAGGAUGAGGUUUCAGUGAAGUCGUGUAGUCGGCCUAUUUUCGCACAUAUUCUCUAGAGAAUGAAACGUUCUUAGAGAAACUUCAUACUAAAAAGGUUUUCUUACAACUUGCUUUGUACUCUCGUAGAAGCCUUAUUUAUAGGUCUAAGGACCCUACUACUAUUCCGUCAUAAUACUAUUCACUAUAGUUCUAUUUACACAAAUAUUGUUCAUUUCUUACAUGAUUUAUAACAUAAAGAAUUACAUUUCAUUGUAUGGCUAUUUACUCUUGAGGAAUGAUAUUUGAACAACCAUUUUUCACAACUUUAGUGACAACUUUAUCUCUCAUACUCACAUUAUCUUUUUAUUUUCUCUCUCUAUUGUUUUGGUUUUUGUGCCACUACCUCAUUUUCUUUGUAAAAUUUUGGUUGUCACAAAAGUUGUCACAUAUAUGGAUGUUCAAAUAACACAACUCUUUACUCUUUCGUUAUGACCUUUUUUUCAUUCAAGAAAUAUGUCCUUCUCGUCACACUUGUGAACUUCACCACCAACACUUUUUUAAAUAAAAUUCAAAUUUGAACCGUUAAACUUGAUAGUUAAUUUGCACUUUUAGGUACACUGUACGACUUUAAUCUUAAGAGCAUGAUCAUUCAUCUGUCACUAGAAAACAGAGAGCACAUUCAAGAUAGUGAUGCAAUAGGUGUUACCCUAAAUUCAGGUAGUGAAUUUUGUAUAGUUGAACGAAAUUUGAACAUGCAUUUUACAUAGAUGCCAACAGUCAAAUAAGUAGAGAUGAUUGUUAUUCUAGUCUAACACCUUUUUGUAAUUCCUAGAGUCCACACUCCACAACCACAAAUGGACCAUUCAUGUCUUUGUCAAAUGUAGAGAAUAUUGUGCACAAAAAAUCAUCAAUCAUAGUAACAAUAAGUGGUUUAGCUAUAACAACGAGUUGAUUGUUAGACUGAAAUGAAUGCUCUAGCUAUAAUCCAUUGUCACAAAGUUGAUUUACAUCUAAUCACUCUAGUAUAAGCCAAAAAGAUUAUUUAUAUUUAAACUUGAAAAUGUUUGGGACAGAACCAUAUACGCAUAAAAACAAUUAAAAAUUUAACUAAUGCAUAAUACACUUUAACCAAACAUAGAAUACGAUUCUGCAAUAUCUAGUGGAUGAUGGUGGAAAUAACUUGAAACAUAGAAUCAAUGCCUUCACCUUUUCACGAGCAACAACUUUCUCAAAUACAAAGUUCCAAUUCUUCCACGUAAAACACCUUUUCUUCUCUCCAGUUUCUUUUUUUAAUUUGGAAAAAUACAUAAAUCAACUUUGGUUUCAUUCCAAAGUGUGUCUUUUACAAAGAAUUGCAUCUUUGUUACAAAAGUAAAUUAAGUCUACUCGUGGACUUAACUAGUGGGAAAUAGGAUAUUACACAAAGAUUAUACUCCACUCUACCAUAUGUUAACCAAUAAGAUAACAUCAAUUAAAUUAACUAUAAUUGUACUUAUUAUAAAUACAGAAUGCAAUCACUGCAUGUAGUGUGAGAGUGGUGUGGUACCAAAAAGAGAAAUUAAAUACACCCAAUGCAAACAUUGCAAACCAAUUCAUAGGUACAAAACUGAGCAAAAGAGAAAGAUGAAAAACAUCACAUGUUAUUUGCUACUAUUGUGCAUGUUAUUUACAACGUGUUAUUCAUUAAAUAAUGAUCUUGAUGCGUUGCUAAAGCUAAAAAAAUCAAUGAAAGGAGAGAAAGCCAAAGAUGAUGCACUCAAAGACUGGAAAUUUUCAACUUCUGCUUCAGCUCACUGUUCAUUUUCCGGUGUAAAAUGCGACGAAGAUCAACGUGUGAUUGCUUUGAACGUGACGCAAGUUCCACUCUUCGGACACCUUUCCAAGGAGAUCGGAGAGUUGAACAUGCUCGAGAGCCUUACAAUCACUAUGGACAAUCUCACCGGCGAGCUUCCAACUGAGCUAUCCAAACUUACUUCUCUUAGAAUCCUCAACAUCUCUCACAACCUCUUCUCCGGUAACUUCCCCGGCAACAUCACUUUUGGAAUGAAGAAACUUGAGGCUCUAGAUGCUUAUGACAAUAAUUUCGAAGGUCCUCUUCCAGAGGAAAUCGUUAGCCUGAUGAAACUCAAGUACUUAAGUUUUGCUG
rnacentral:lncRNA from 1 species